rnacentral:rRNA from 1 species
AUCGGGUCACGCCGGGAACGUCUAAGGGGACCGCCCGGACAACGGGGAGGAAGGUGGGAUGACGUCAAGUCAGCAUGGCCUUUAUGUCCAGGGCUACACACGUGCUACAAUGGUUGGUACAAAGGGUUGCCAAGCCGUGAGGCGGAGCCAAUCUCAAAAGCCAACCUCAGUUCGGAUUGCAGUCUGCAACUCGACUGCAUGAAGCCGGAGUUGCUAGUAACCGCAGGUCAGCAAUACUGCGGUGAAUACGUUCCCGGGUCCUU